CAGUCGCCGCGGUAAUACGUAGGGCGCAAGCGUUGUCCGGAAUUAUUGGGCGUAAAGAGCUCGUAGGCGGCUUGUCACGUCUGCUGUGAAAUCCCGGGGCUCAACCCCGGGCGUGCAGUGGAUACGGGCUGGCUAGAGGCAGGCAGGGGAGAACGGAAUUCCCGGUGUAGCGGUGAAAUGCGCAGAUAUCGGGAGGAACACCGGUGGCGAAGGCGGUUCUCUGGGCCUGUUCUGACGCUGAGGAGCGAAAGCGUGGGGAGCGAACAGGAUUAGAGACCCGCGUAGUCCCUGUCUCUUAUAC
rnacentral:rRNA from 1 species